rnacentral:lncRNA from 1 species
CUUGUGUGUGGUGUAGUUUAUUUCUGUGGCAUGUUUUGGCCAUUAGCAUGGUAUCUCUGCUCAUCUGUUGCUUCUGUUUUUUUCCCUGAGUUUUGACUGAUGCGCCUGUCUAGAUGACCCUGAGCAUCCAUAAUGGAAUUAUUUUGGUGGACAAGAGUUCUGCAGUAUUUUAAUUGGAAAGUGGAAGCAUGAAUCCCCUCAUAGCCAGAGAGAUCUUAUUCACAUCCACACAAACAACUUCUCAAGGUUAAGUUUCAAGAAAUGAACUGAAUCUGACAUGGGCAAGGAGGGGGAUGGAGGAAUGGAAACAAAACAACCACAACCGAUAUGGAUUUUAACCUUCAUGGAUAUUUCCAAGAAUUUAUUUCAGACUCAAUCACAAAGUGAAGCUCAGAGAAA